CUACCAUAAAUGAAGGGUGACAGCAACUCGUCUUUCUCCGUUUAGCUUCAUCAUGGACAGAGAUCAAGAACAGGAAGAAGACGAGGCUGGAUCUGUGCUGCGUUAAUGGCGAAAGCUGGUAAUAAACGCAGUGUGGAGGAGAAGCUGCAAGAUGAAGGGCAUCAUCCUUACGCCUUUCAUGUCUCUGGUCCUCGCAAUUUCGCUGCCCUUAUUUGCAGGGAUCUUCUCAAUCUAGUUGAUCAACACAAUAAGCAGUCUGCGCCUAUAUAUUCCAAAGGAUUUUCUGUCAUUGGAAGCUAGCGGAAACAUGCUGAAGAAAGUGUCAGAAACUCUCUGGAUUUGCUGAAAAAGGGUUGCCCCUUCUAGAUCCUGUAGAGGACAUGAAGAUUCACAGCAGCUCAUACAAAAAGGCAUCCCGGAGAUUAGAGGCCUCGGAGCGGCUGUUUGAGAAGCAUGAAAUCGUAAAAUCUCCAUGUUUGAAGCAAAACUAAAGGCUUUGCGUAAGAAGCAAGAACUGGCUGCAAAGAUAAAGUCAAUUAAGAGAACAUUAAGAAAUUCUACUGCUUUGGCUUUUAGGGAUGAACUUAAGGCAAGAAAGAGAGUUCUUCGAGGGCUAGGAUAUAUUACAAGUGAGAAUGUUGUGGAAUUAAAAGG